rnacentral:lncRNA from 1 species
GCAGGGGACACCAAUUUCCUGGGGCAGAAUCCCCACUGUCCUGGCUGUUUUUCCAUGCUGGGAGGAAGCGGCUGUUUUUCUGGCAAAGCCAGAGCAUGGUGGCCCGAGGAGGGAGGAAGGGGCCCCUUGGGUGCUCUUUGGGAGCUCUCACCAUGUGCUGUGGCUCCGUUCCCAGUCUGAGCUCUCAUUUCCUAUCGGAAACGAUUGCAUCCCCCUUCCUUUCAACAGGGGAGCAAGCCUCCCAGCUCGUGAUUGUGGGUGGACUGCCAUCAGCGGGAACAGGCACAGAGUGUCAAAGCGUCUGGGAAGGAGAGAGAGCCCUGAAAAACACAGAAAGGUAGCAAACGAGGUUCCCUAGGUCUGACAGGAUUUAGGCUGUGUCAUUUCAUUCCCAUUUGUCCUAUAAGAAAAGCACCAGCCAGGCCAAUGGUCUCUUCCUCUGAUCACUGACGCUCACUGCGGGCACACAAGGCAGAGUCAUUUAUUUUUGCAGCCUCUCUUCCUUCAUUUGGCAAAGCUGCCUCAUUGAGCAAGAGGGGCCUAACAGGACUUCCGCAAACAAACUUCCUCUGCGGACCAAAGGGCAGCAAGCACUGCAGCCCUUGUACUCCACCUAAACUUCCCAAGGGACCAGGAGCAGCAGCACAAGCCAGGCUAAGUGAGGUAAUGGCAACCACAGUGACAGAAUCUGGUGGCGUGCGGAUCAUCACAGAGGUCAUCCCCAACACAGACCCACGGGCAGCCCAGCUGGUCUCCGGCUCCAUCCAGCCCACCGUGUCUUCUUUCCAAGUCAGCGGCUUCAGGAGAGCACAGCCCAAAGUGCUGGGGACCAUUCACAUCGUCACCGGCAUCAUCCACUUGUGCUUUGGUGUCAUCCUGACCUGUGCAGAGAACAACAGUGCCCUCUCCCUUCCUGUGGCCAGCGGAGUCUUCUUUUGGCUUGGGGUCCUGCUCCUGGUUUCAGGCUCACUCCUGGUGGAAAGUGAGAAAAGAGAGAACAUCCUGCUGGUGAAGGUGUGUUGCGUGGCCAACGCCGCCGUCAUCCUCAGCACGCUGGUGGCCAUGCUCAUACACACGGUGGCCAUCACCCACAGCAUCCCUGGCUGCAGCAGCAGCGCCAGCAUGCCGCUCCCGGUGAGGCAGGAGUGGUGCUUCAGUGCUGAGACCAAGGCCCUGAGCAACGGCUUCGACUGCAUCUUUGUCCUCUUCAGCCUGCUGGAGUUUUGCACAGCCGUGGCGGCCCUGGCCUUCGGCUGGACUGCCAUCAAGCAGUACAGUUACACACGCAUGGUGCUGUAGUGAAGCCCACACUAUCCCUGCUGCUCCCCAGAGCCGGACCACGCCCAGCCCUAAGCAGCAGCACCACGCACUCCUACAAAAUCCUAAAAACGAAUCCAAAAAUCCCAAUAAACUGCCUCUCCCCCAGCCGAGCCUUCGCGUU